AAGCACAAUGGUGAAGUCAUUGUCAUCCCCAAGUCCUGCCAUGCCAAGAGGGAGGCUGCCAGUCCCAGGGGGCUACCUCACGGUCCUGGGCAGAGAUGAGACAUCUAUAAAAGGUGGGCCGGCUGAGAGCAUCCCAAAGAGCUUGCUGUCUCUACCCUCCAAUCUCUGGUGAACUCUGUUGGAAACCCAGAAUGUCUCAGCAGAAGCAGAAGCAGUACUGCCCCCCACCCCAGCCGUGUGCCCCACCCCAGCAGUGUGCCCCACCCCAGCAGUGUGCCCCACCCCAGCAGUGUGCCCCACCCCAGCAGUGUGCCCCCCAACCCCAGCAGACCAAGCAGCCUUGCCAGCCUCCUCCCAAGUGCCAGCAGAAGUGUCCACCACCCCAGCAGUGCCAGAAGUCCAAGCAGAAGUGAGCUCUCAGCUUGUGGCCAGAGGAGAAUUCCUAGGAAGACAGAACAUGAUGUCUGUCCUUGGGCAGCAUCUGGAAUUCCCUCCAGCAUCAGCCGUGUGUAUGCUCACCCCUGCUUCUGGAUGCAGCCAUUGUUCACAUUUGGAGAAGAAGCACCUAGGCUGUAGCUUCCUCAAUCUCAAGCUCUUCUUAAUUGGCAGUUGCAGUUUCCAUCCCUGACAAAGAUCUGCUUCUAAACUGUCUAAUCAUCUUUGUUGACAUGUAUCUAAAUCAUCCUGCUGGAAACCUAGGCGCCACACCCAGACGCCCUUUCUCAUCACCCUUCCCAAGCAAUUAAAAGAGAAUUACUCUGGCACCAA
rnacentral:lncRNA from 1 species